AACGUCCUACAACCAGAAACACUAGUAAAGGUCGUGAAAAAGCUAACCCUAAACCCCGGUGCCAAGCGGUCAGCGCGCCGCGCAGUCUUCGGAACCGGAUUGCGGAUUGCCGAACCUGUGGAGAACAAGACUGAAAAAAUCCGGAAAAAAAAAAAAAAAAGGCUUGAAGGAAAUGAGUUUGAAGGGGACAGUGAGCCAUUCAGAUGUCUCUGCACUUUCUGCCAUUAUCAAAGAUGGGAUCCCUCUGAGAAUGCUAAAAUUGGGAAGAAU
rnacentral:lncRNA from 1 species